rnacentral:rRNA from 1 species
GACGAACGCUGGCGGCGUGCCUAACACAUGCAAGUCAACUUGACUGAAGGAGCAAUCUGACAGUAGAGUGGCGCAAGGGUGCGUAACGCGUAGGUAACUUGCCCCAAGGUAAGGAAUAACGUCGAGAAAUCGGCGCUAAUACCUCAUAAUGCAGCGGAUCCGCAUGGAUAUGUUGUUAAAGGUUUACCGCCUUGGGAUAGGCUUGCGUCUGAUUAGCUAGUUGGUGUGGUAACGGCACACCAAGGCUACGAUCAGUAACUGGUCUGAGAGGAUGAUCAGUCACACUGGAACUGAGACACGGUCCAGACUCCUACGGGAGGCAGCAGUGAGGAAUAUUGGGCAAUGCUCGAAAGAGUGACCCAGCAACGCCGCGUGGAGGAUGAAGGUAUUCUAUAUCGUAAACUCCUGUGAGAGCAGACGAAAGACAGAUUAUAAUCUGGAUGACUGUAUGCU